rnacentral:lncRNA from 1 species
UCCGUCUCAAAAAACAAAACAAAACACCACCACCAAAAAAACCCCAACCAAACAAAAAAACACAGUUUCUUUGGUAUACUGUGCCUAUCUGCUCUGUACCACCUGCCAUGUUGCUGGGGAGUGUUUCAUUCAGCAGACAGAUUUUCCCUCUAAGCCUAAUACGCUUCAUUUCUAGAGGCCAGAAGUCACCCCGGCUACCAGAAGCUUGUUCUUCUCUCUUACCUCUAAGAACUUAGUAUUUGGGGUGGGGUUGGUCUGGUCUCUAGGGAAACUCUGGAGUUUUCAUACAGUGCCUACAAGAGCAGCCCACUCUAGUUAUGACCGUGGAUCUGAACAUCAAGACAUCACUAUCAAAAAUCCAGCCAUUGGAUUAUAAAUCAUGCUGCUAUAA